UGCUCACCCUGUGUUGCCAGACAGCA
rnacentral:piRNA from 1 species